rnacentral:lncRNA from 1 species
AACCAGUUCAAGAUCAGAAGAAAAAUGUCACUUUUAAAUCCAAGCUGUUGUGGGACAUAAAUGACUGCUCUAUCUGUUCUUGUACUCUGGGAUUCUGCUGUCACAGUAAGUUCCUCCCUAAAUGUUAGAGAACAGGAGAGAUAAAUGGAGGAGAUCUGGAAAGGCUGGCUAUGCCAUAUCCUGGAAUUUUGAGGACUCUUUAAGAGGUCUACAUUUUGUUUUGGGAAUAAUGCAGCAGGUGUUACCUCAAAUCACAGAGACUCAGCUUCAGGGAGCUGAUUGGAUAGGCCUGGGAAGGUCAGGGGAUGCCCUACUUCUUGCAGGGUUUCCUCUUCUCUCCAGUUGGGCACAGAGAAGGAAAAUGGAAAGAUCCCAUAUGUACAAGUCUUUUUUACCUUGAGAACUUGUUCCUGAGGACCUCAUGGACUCCCAAGACCUUUAAAUAUCUGGACUGACUCUAAUAGGAUCCAAAAAUGCAUUCUGGCCUAAUAUAGAUAUUCCAUGUUCUCCUUUACUAGAGUAAUUAUGGCUAUCCAUUUUCCCCCCAGAAUUUCUGUCUUUUUUGAG